rnacentral:rRNA from 1 species
AACGAACGCUGGCGGCGUGCCUAACACAUGCAAGUCGUGCGAGAAAGUUCCUUCGGGAGCGAGUAAAGCGGCGCACGGGUGAGUAACACGUAGGUAACCUGCCCCCCAGUCUGGAACAACUAGAGGAAACUCUAGCUAAUGCCGGAUGAGACCACGAUCCCUUCGGGGGUUGCGGCCAAAGAUGGCCUCUACUUGUAAGCUAUCGCUGAGGGAUGGGCCUGCGGGCCAUUAGCUUGUUGGUGAGGUAACGGCUCACCAAGGCUGUGAUGGCUAGCUGGUCUGAGAGGAUGACCAGCCACACUGGGACUGAGACACGGCCCAGACUCCUACGGGAGGCAGCAUGGGGAAUAUUGCGCAAUGGCGAAAGACCUGACGCAGCGACGCCGCGUGGGUGAUGAAGGCC